UUUAUUGGCGAAACUAGAGUUUCCCUGAAAAAGCUGAAACCCAAUCAGAAAAAGAACUUCAACAUCUGCUUGGAGAGAGUAAUACCAAUGAAGCGUGCUGGAACGACCGGCUCAUCUCGUGGGAUGGCACUGUAUGAAGAAGAGGUAGAUCGUGGCGGGGAUGUGGAAGAACGCGGGAAGAUCCUCGUGUCGCUCAUGUACAGCACCCAGCAGGGCGGCUUGAUCGUCGGCAUCGUGCGCUGCGUGCAUUUAGCGGCCAUGGACGCCAACGGAUACU